rnacentral:rRNA from 1 species
GACGAACGCUGGCGGCGUGCCUAAUACAUGCAAGUAGAACGCUGAAGGAGGAGCUUGCUUCUCCGGAUGAGUUGCGAACGGGUGAGUAACGCGUAGGUAACCUGCCUGGUAGCGGGGGAUAACUAUUGGAAACGAUAGCUAAUACCGCAUAACAGUAGAUAUUGCAUGAUAUCUGCUUGAAAGGUGCAAUUGCAUCACUACCAGAUGGACCUGCGUUGUAUUAGCUAGUUGGUGAGGUAACGGCUCACCAAGGCGACGAUACAUAGCCGACCUGAGAGGGUGAUCGGCCACACUGGGACUGAGACACGGCCCAGACUCCUACGGGAGGCAGCAGUAGGGAAUCUUCGGCAAUGGACGGAAGUCUGACCGAGCAACGCCGCGUGAGUGAAGAAGGUUUUCGGAUCGUAAAGCUCUGUUGUAAGAGAAGAACGAGUGUGAGAGUGGAAAGUUCACACUGUGACGGUAUCUUACCAGAAAGGGACGGCUAACUACGUGCCAGCAGCCGCGGUAAUACGUAGGUCCCGAGCGUUGUCCGGAUUUAUUGGGCGUAAAGCGAGCGCAGGCGGUUAGAUAAGUCUGAAGUUAAAGGCUGUGGCUUAACCAUAGUACGCUUUGGAAACUGUUUAACUUGAGUGCAAGAGGGGAGAGUGGAAUUCCAUGUGUAGCGGUGAAAUGCGUAGAUAUAUGGAGGAACACCGGUUGCGAAAGCGGCUCUCUGGCUUGUAACUGACGCUGAGGCUCGAAGCGUGGGGAGCUGACAGGAUUAUUUCCCUGGUAGUCCAAGGGCGAAUCCACUGUGGAUUGCAGCUUAUGAAUACUGUUGAAUGUCGUGGGAGGUAAAGGAUGCAUGUUUUUGUCCCUUUAUGUGGUUAUUAUGGUGUGUGUGUGUAUUGUGCUGAUAUUGUGUGUGGUGUGAUUUAUAUUGUAUAGCUUGUUGUUUGUAUGUGUGGUUGCUCUGAUGUGAUGUGUUGUUUGUCAUGCCUGUUGUUGUUUGUUGGGUGUGUGUUUGUGUUGUAUAUUGUGUUGAUGAUUGUGUUGUUGUUG